GACGAACGCUGGCGGCGUGCCUAAUACAUGCAAGUAGGACGCACAGUUUAUACCGUAGCUUGCUACACCAUAGACUGUGAGUUGCGAACGGGUGAGUAACGCGUAGGUAACCUGCCUAUUAGAGGGGGAUAACUAUUGGAAACGAUAGCUAAUACCGCAUAACAGUAUGUAACACAUGUUAGAUGCUUGAAAGAUGCAAUUGCAUCGCUAGUAGAUGGACCUGCGUUGUAUUAGCUAGUAGGUAGGGUAAAGGCCUACCUAGGCAACGAUACAUAGCCGACCUGAGAGGGUGAUCGGCCACACUGGGACUGAGACACGGCCCAGACUCCUACGGGAGGCAGCAGUAGGGAAUCUUCGGCAAUGGGGGGAACCCUGACCGAGCAACGCCGCGUGAGUGAAGAAGGUUUUCGGAUCGUAAAGCUCUGUUGUUAAAGGAAAGAAACGAGUGUGAGAAAUGGAAAAG
rnacentral:rRNA from 1 species